rnacentral:lncRNA from 1 species
GUGUGUCAGUCAGGGUCUGUACAGGUGAGGAGUAUUCCUGGAGUCGGUCUGUGUCCCAGGAGUGUCCAGUGUUGAUUCUGUAUCUGUGUCUGGUGAUAACAGCAGACAGAGGGACAGUACUGUGGUCUUGUUUCCUGGGUAGUGGACAGGGUGACCAAGGUGGAACCUCAGGGAGGAGAGACUGAGCUCAGCCAGGGCACCAGGAUCAACACACAGAUCAUAGAGAUCUUUAAUGAGCAAGCAGUCAGGACUCAUUCAGUGUCUCAUGAGAAAGACAGACGGCACUUCCUACAGGUGUCUCCAGUCACCAUCCUGGCCAGUUGGUUCAGAUCAGAGGAAGUCUUUAACUGUUUUCACUCUCUCUGUUCACACCCCUCAGUGUCUCUUCCAGACUCUGGAUCACGGCUCUCCUCCUUCUUCUCUUCCAUCUCCUCCCUCCUCCAGACAUCCAGACCAGCAGUCAAAAUCCACUUCCUGGCUGCUGGAGUUACCCUGGGAGCUGACAGGAUGUUCAAGGAGAAACUGGGAAAGCAGAUGAACUUUAAAGAGUGCCCCCUGCAGGAGUGUGACGCCAUCGUGACUUUCUGUCCUGUCAGCUCUCGGAUAGGGACUGAUAUUGACCACGCCCUCCAGAACAUUCCAGGGGACAAGCCCGCCGCCCUGGUGGUGAUGCACCACACCUACGACCCCGAGGCAGUUGUGGCUGAGAGCAGCAGACUGGUGACCAGGAGAGACACAGUGACUGUGGACUGUCUGUUCCAUGAGACAGCGGGGCUGCUGGACAGCUGUCCCAUCAAUGAGCAGGCUGUGGGUUCAGUGCGUGACAUGCUGAGAGGCUUACCCACAGCUAACGAGUAAGCACCAUCAGCGUGUAACACAGUUAGAUAGCUCAGAAGAGUUUCAACGUCGCAGGAAUCUGCAAUAAGCCAAACUAGAAUUUAAUUGAGUGCAGUCUGUCUGAAUGCUGUCAGCUGAUCUUGCUCUAAAACCUUGAUUAUAACAGGAAACGGAUGAAUUAAAUUCAACAUGAAAGAGGAUGUGUUUAAGCUCAUCGACUGGAAAUCAAGGAUCGACUCUGGGGAAUCUGUAGCAGAACGAAGGGUCAAACAUUUUAAUUCCAUCAUUAACGGUGAAUGUAAAUGACUCCCAACACAUAUCCUAUUGUAUUCCUGCCGACUGAAGAUCAAUAAAACAUUAAGAGGAAACACACUGUGACUGGUGCCCGGGAGAGACACAGUGACUGUGGACUGUCUGUUCCACAGGACAGCGGGGCAGCUGUCCCGUCAGUGGGCAGGCUGUGAGACAGGUCUCUGAUGGAUUACUGAAAUGUGUUCAGCCGGAAUAAAACGCACUUUCAGUCGAAAUUGACCUUCAUGCAGCACUCCAGUGCUUUUGCCAGGAGGAGGGUUUUAAUUGGCCUCGCUACCCGAGCGUGUUAUUUACUGACAAAUACGACGACCGCUGAGUGAUUUAAUUUAAUUUAUUUAAUUCCGUAGAUUAAUAAAACAUUUCUAGAUCACAGAACUAUAAGGUGGGGUUUUAGUCAAUAACUGUCCAGGUCAUUCCUGCCUGCAGAGCCUCCUGACUAAAGGGAGCUGUCCGCAGUCUGAGCUCCCCCUGGUGGUGGGGAGGACUGCAGAGCCUC